rnacentral:rRNA from 1 species
GUCAAGAAUAUUAGUCAAUGCUCGCAAGAGUGAACUAGCUAACUGAAAUCAUAAAAUCAUUAAUAGUGGUGAUAUGAUAACGUAAGGGAAAAAAAUGAUAUUACCUUACUAUUAGUGUUGUCCAAAGCUGGUGCCAGAAGACUCGGUAAGGCCAGAGACGCAAACGUUAAUCGUCCUAAUCAGGCGUAAAGGGUAUGUAGGCUGCUUUGAAAAUAAUAUUUAUAAUAGCUCUAAUUCAUAUUUAAUAAUAAUUAUUAUUAUUCCAUACUGAAUAGUUUAAAUAAAAUGAUUAAAAGCUAGAAUCAUAAAGAGGAUAAGCCAAAUAAUACUUAAUGUAGGGUUGAUAUCUGCAGAUAUUAAGGAGAAUACUCAUGGUGAAAGCUUUUAUCUAACAAUGAUUGACGCUGAGAAACGAAGGUGAGAACAGGAAAUAGGAUUAGAGACCCAGAUACCUCUCACUGUAAACGAUGAAUGGUGGUUGUUAGUAAUAGUAAAACUGAUGACGAUGUUAACACGAUAACCAUUCCGCCUUGCGAGUACGGUUGCAAAACUGAAACCAAAAAAAUUAGUCGG